AGAUGUGAGGAUGAUCUGGCUGUGACGUCUGUCACCCUAUUGAUUACCAGGGUUGAUUUGCCUGAUCUCGCUGGCUAGGCUGAUGUCCCCUUCCAUCCUCACUGCUCCCUGCACGUCCCUCCCAAAGCUGUGUUCUUAGUCGAAGAGGACAACCAUCCCUGAUAAAGGAGACCAGUCUUCGGUCAAGGGUAUAUGAGUAGCUGCACUCCCUUCCUAGAACUUCAAGCUUUCAAUACUGGUGAUUCUUNN
rnacentral:snRNA from 1 species